AUCCCAUGAUGAGGGCACUUACGAAGUAACUCUUUGAAUUGCUCCCAAGCCUCAUACAAAGACUCGUCAUCCAAUUGUUGGAGGUU
rnacentral:snoRNA from 1 species